rnacentral:rRNA from 1 species
UUUCGGGGGGUUGGUGGGGUGUGGGAGUGGCGGACGGGUGAGUAACACGUGAGUAACCUGCCCUGGGCGUGGGGAUAACCCUGGGAAACUGGGGCUAAUACCGGAUGGCUCGCAUCUCUCGCAUGGGGGGUGUGGGAAAGGUUCUCUCCUGUGAGGGGGGGUUCCGGCCUGGGAGGGGCUCGCGGCCCAUCAGCUUGUUGGUGCGGUGAGGGCGUACCAAGGCGAUGACGGGUAGCCGGCCUGAGAGGGUGAUCGGCCACACUGGGACUGAGACACGGCCCAGACUCCUACGGGAGGCAGCAGUGGGGAAUUUUGCGCAAUGGGCGGAAGCCUGACGCAGCGACGCCGUGUGGGGGAGGACGGCCUUCGGGUUGUAAACCCCUUUCGGCCCUGACGAAUGUGACGGUAGGGGCUAAAGAAGCGCCGGCUAACUACGUGCCAGCAGCCGCGGUAAUACGUAGGGCGCGAGCGUUGUCCGGAUUUACUGGGCGUAAAGGGCUCGUAGGCGGUUUGUCGCGUCGGUCGUGGAAAUGUGCGGCUUAACCGGGCACGUGCGGCCGAUACGGGCAGACUCGAGGGCGGUAGGGGCAAGCGGAAUUCCUGGUGUAGCGGUGAAAUGCGCAGAUAUCAGGAGGAACACCGAUGGCGAAGGCAGCUUGCUGGGCCGUUCCUGACGCUGAGGAGCGAAAGCAUGGGGAGCGAACAGGAUUAGAUACCCUGGUAGUCCAUGCUGUAAACGUUGGGCGCUAGGUGUGGGGACCGGGUGAUGGUGUCCGUGCCGUAGCUAACGCAUUAAGCGCCCCGCCUGGG